AGGUUAUAGUUGUUGAGAGAAAAAAGAGAGGUUUUUGUUGGGUUACUUUAGUACUUGUAUUCGGUGUUGCAUAGGAUGUCGUGUCGUAGGGUGUUGGGUUUUGUUUCUUUGGCUUGUGAGUUUACAUACUGAGCAUGUAUGAUGCUUGUGCGUCUCUAUCAAACUCUUUCUGCUUCCUUAUCUCACAAUAACAAUAACAAAAACAUUCUAAUUCUUUCCAAAAAUGGGGAUGGGAACAAGCACCUUCGUUACUAGAUGGAUCAACUUUCUAACCAUGGUUUUGGCUAUGGUUGUGAUAAUAUUUGGGGUGUGGAUGAGCACUCGUCAUGAUGCCUGCAGAAAGUCUCUCACUAUACCUGUGCUAAGCAUUGGAGGAGUUAUUUUCUUAAUAUCCGUAGUUGGUUUUUUGGGUGCCGUGAAAAGAAGCUCCAUAUUGCUAUGGCUUUAUCUGAUCAUGCUGUUCUUCAUUUUGGUUGGGAUCCUGGUCUUCACGGUAUUAGUAUUCAUUGUGACUAAUAAUGGAUCAGGCCAUAGUGUGACUGGCUUGAGGUACAAGGAGUAUCAACUUCAAGAUUAUAGCUCUUGGUUUCUCAAAGAAUUAAACAAUUCUCAUAACUGGGAGCGAUUGCGGGUUUGUCUGGUUAAAACUGAAGGCUGCAAUAACCUAUCGAAAAAAUAUAAGACUUACAAACAAUAUAAAUUAGCUAAAUUGACCCCAAUUGAGGCUGGCUGCUGCCGACCACCUUCUGAAUGUGGAUAUCCUGCUGUAAACGCAUCCUACUAUGACUUGACCUUUCAUCCGGUUAGCCCUAACAAUGACUGCAAGCGGUACAAAAAUUCUCGGGCCGUCAAAUGCUAUGAUUGUGAUUCUUGCAAGGCCGGCGUGGCUCAAUAUAUGAAAACUGAGUGGAGAGUUGUUGCAAUAUUUAAUGUUGUUUUAUUUGCUAUUUUGGUAAGUCAGUAUUGCCUCUUUGUAAGAUCAUCAUAGUUGACAACAAUCAGGAGAAGUUCUUCAAUCCACCUAGUUCCAAUAUAUUGUGUCCUUCAAUAAACAAUUUAGGUUCAAAACUGUGUAUGAAAUAUGGAUCCCCUACAGCAAUUGCAUGGUACACCACUUGUGCUGUGGGAAUGGUUAAAGUGUCUAUUAUAUACUUUGUGGGAUGCUGUGCGAGACGAAAUGCGGCUAGGCGCCAAUCUAAGGGUUGAAGGCAACGGAAAGCAUCCACAAAAUUCUUUUGAAAUUUGUUUGAAGAGGA